ACAUAGUACUAGAGCCGAUUUACGCAAUCGAAUACCGCCGGAAGUAGAACAUUUAUGUAAACACCGGUUUCGUAUUUUCACGUGAAAACGGCCGAAAACCGAGAGGUUAUCAACAAAUUAUAAGUUUACGGGUUCCAUGAGGAUUUUUCAUGCAUUUAAACGACAGAAGAACAAGUGAACAGAUGACAUAUUAAAGUGGCUGCAGAAGCUUGAAAAGUUAGAUAGAGCAGGGGCAGUCAAAACAGUGGGAUAAUACUUCUAUGGUGUCCAACAUGUCUAGUCAGGUUGACAGAAGUGAAAGAUGGUCUGAUGGUACAAUGAUGUACAAAUGAUACUCUUUAACAAGUUUAAGAUGUCAAGGUGUAAAAUGUUCUGUGGAUUCAUAUGAUGAGAAUGCCAGUGUUGAUCUGUAUGACUUAAUUAAACACAGAUAUUGAUACCUUCAGAUAUGUACCUGUGAAAUCUUCAGUGUCACCGUUCAGCUAUUGUUCAAGAUCAGUGUCUGCAGCUUGCACAGUUUAGCAUAGAGGAGCCUUCUGAAUCAAUUUUGUUACAUAUUUGCUGUUAUUGUAGGACACACAUGUAGAGAGCA
rnacentral:lncRNA from 1 species